rnacentral:rRNA from 4 species
GUAACAAGGUUUCCGUAGGUGAACCUGCGGAAGGAUCAUUACCGUUGC